AGCGAACGCUGGCGGCAGGCCUAACACAUGCAAGUCGAACGAACCCUUCGGGGUUAGUGGCGGACGGGUGAGUAACACGUGGGAACGUGCCUUUAGGUUCGGAAUAACUCAGGGAAACUUGUGCUAAUACCGAAUGUGCCCUUCGGGGGAAAGAUUUAUCGCCUUUAGAGCGGCCCGCGUCUGAUUAGCUAGUUGGUGAGGUAAUGGCUCACCAAGGCUACGAUCAGUAGCUGGUCUGAGAGGAUGACCAGCCACAUUGGGACUGAGACACGGCCCAAACUCCUACGGGAGGCAACAGUGGGGAAUCUUGCGCAAUGGGCGGAAGCCUGACGCAGCCAUGCCGCGUGGAUGAUGAAGGUCUUAGGAUUGUAAAAUCCUUUCACCGGUGAAGAUAAUGACUGUAGCCGGAGAAGAAGCCCCGGCUAACUUCGUGCCAGCCGCCGCCGUAAGAC
rnacentral:rRNA from 1 species